rnacentral:rRNA from 1 species
GACGAACGCUGGCGGCGUGCCUAAUACAUGCAAGUAGAACGCUGAAGGAGGGGCUUGCUUCUCUGGAUGAGUUGCGAACGGGUGAGUAACGCGUAGGUAACCUGCCUGGUAGCGGGGGAUAACUAUUGGAAACGAUAGCUAAUACCGCAUAAUAGCAGUUGUUGCAUGACAACUGUUUGGAAGGUGCAAUUGCACCACUACCAGAUGGACCUGCGUUGUAUUAGCUAGUUGGUGGGGUAACGGCUCACCAAGGCGACGAUACAUAGCCGACCUGAGAGGGGGAUCGGCCACACUGGGACUGGGACACGGCCCAGACUCCUACGGGAGGCAGCAGUAGGGAAUCUUCGGCAAUGGACGGAAGUCUGACCGAGCAACGCCGCGUGAGUGGAGAAGGUUUUCGGAUCGUAAAGCUCUGUUGUAAGAGAAGAACGAGUGUGAGAGCGGAAAGUUCACACUGUGACGGUAUCUUACCAGAAAGGGACGGCUAACUACGUG